AAUCAACGCUGGCGGCGUGCCUCAGACAUGCAAGUCGAACGCGAAAGUUCCCUUCGGGGGAUGAGUAGAGUGGCGCACGGGUGAGUAACACGUAGGUAAUCUACCUUCGGAUGGGGAAUAACAACCGGAAACGGUUGCUAAUACCGCAUAAUGCAGCGGCACCUAAUGGUGACAGUUGUUAAAGCGGGGGAUCGAAAGACCUCGCGUCUGAAGAGGAGCCUGCGGCGGAUUAGCUAGUUGGUAGGGUAACGGCCUACCAAGGCUACGAUCCGUAGCCGGCCUGAGAGGGCGGUCGGCCACACUGACACUGACAUACGGGUCAGACUCCUACGGGAGGCAGCAGUCGGGAAUUUUGGGCAAUGGGCGAAAGCCUGACCCAGC
rnacentral:rRNA from 1 species